AGUAACGCGUGAGUAGCCUGCCUUACACAAGGGGAUAGCCGUUGGAAACGACGAGUAAUACCCUAUGAAACUAUCACUUCGCAUGAAGCGAUAGUCAAAGUGUUAGCGGUGUAAGAUGGACUUGCGUCUGACUAGCUAGUUGGUGAGAAAAAGCCCACCAAGGCAACGAUCAGUAGCCGGCUUGAGAGAGUGUACGGCCACAUUGGGACUGAGACACGGCCCAG
rnacentral:rRNA from 1 species